rnacentral:rRNA from 1 species
AUUCCAGCUCCAAUAGCGUAUAUUUUAGUUGUUGCAGUUAAAAAGCUCGUAGUUGAAUUUCUGGUGGGAAGAUGCGGACGGCCUCAUGGCUUGUUCCAAGUCUUCCGGCCAUCCUUGGGUGGAGCUCGUCUGGCAUUAAGUUGUCGGGCGGGGGAUGCCCAUCGUUUACUGUGAAAAAAUUAAAGUGUUCAAAGCAGACUUAUGUCGUUGAAUAUAUUAGCAUGGAAUAAUAAGAUAGGACAGCAGUGCUAUUUUGUUGGUUUGCGCACCGUUGUAAUGAUGAAUAGGGACAGUUGUGGGUAUUUAUAUUCACUUGUAAGAGGUGAAAUUCUUAGAUUAAGGGAAGAUAAACUACUGCGAAGCAUUUACCAAGGAUGUUUUCAUUG